CCUACGGGAGGCAGCAGUAGGGAAUAUUGCUCAAUGGGGGAAACCCUGAAGCAGCAACGCCGCGUGGAGGAUGAAGGUUUUCGGAUUGUAAACUCCUUUUGUUAGAGAAGAUAAUGACGGUAUCUAACGAAUAAGCACCGGCUAACUCCGUGCCAGCAGCCGCGGUAAUACGGAGGGUGCAAGCGUUACUCGGAAUCACUGGGCGGAAAGAGCGCGUAGGCGGGAUAGCAAGUCAGAUGGGAAAUCCUAUGGCUUAACCAUAAAACUGCAUUUGAAACUGUUAUUCUAGAGUAUGGGAGAGGUAGGUGGAAUUCUUGGGGUAGGGGUAAAAUCCGUAGAGAUCAAGAGGAAUACUCAUUGCGAAGGCGACCUGCUAGAACAUAACUGACGCUGAUGCGCGAAAGCGUGGGGAGCAAACAGGAUUAGAUACCCCUGUAGUC
rnacentral:rRNA from 1 species